UUUUAAAUGAAAUGAUUUAUAUAAUAUUUCUAUAGCCCAAUAUGCCGAACUCCAUGUAAGUGGUAUUACAGUAUGAAAAAUACUUGGGUUCACCACUUCACCCCUACGGUGAACCUAUUCGUUCACCUAUUAUUAUCUUAAUCGUUAAAAAUAUACAGUAGUAUUAUGCCAUGUCAUACCAUGUUUAAAAAAUAAACUAAAAUUAAA
rnacentral:lncRNA from 1 species